rnacentral:tRNA from 1 species
GGUUGUAGCCCAGUGGUAGAGUGCUUGCCUUGCAUGCAUGAGGCCCUGGGUUCAAUCCCCAGUACUGCCA